GAUGUUUAUGUAUUUGGAAAAAUGUUUCUCUCAAAUAUUUUACGUAUAAAAGAUAUUAGUGUCUAGCUUCUAUUCAAUAAACAAGAAAUCAUUAACGUGACAUUGUCACAAUGUUCAAUAACAUCUAAUAUUUCCAAUAUGUAGUUAACAUUGAUAACAUUAUCAAACUGUCCUAGCAAAACAAGUUCAACAAGUAUUCGGGGUUGCAAUAUACGCACUCUAUAACAAUGUGAUAGGCUGCUCGUUCGAAGGUUCAUUACACGAUUACAGGAAGUUACAUGAUUCUCGCCACGACCUACUCUCCAUUGAAAAUAUGAACGUCGCCAGUUUCCCCCGCCUUAUAAGGAUACUGCUGCACCUACAUCCAGGUUGUCUCGCUAUCGCCUUUUCGCUCGAUCGAACCGACAAUAAAUAGGCAAUGCAUCCACUUCAAUUCACCCACAGUAAAAAAAACGUACAAAAUAAGAGAUAAAUAAAAUCGCAAUGCGUAUGCAAAAAACGCAGAAAUAUUACAGAAUUAUUAUUAUUAGAAUGAUCGAAAGAUAUCUAAAGAAGCCACGUACAAUCAGUAAACGAUGUUUUUGCGGAUUCUAUCG